rnacentral:rRNA from 1 species
UCCUACGGGAGGCAGCAGUGGGGAAUAUUGCACAAUGGGCGCAAGCCUGAUGCAGCAACGCCGCGUGAGGGACGAAGGCCUUCGGGUUGUAAACCUCUUUUAGUAGGGAAGAAGCGACUGGGUUUUCCUGGGAGUGACGGUACCUGCAGAAAAAGCACCGGCUAACUACGUGCCAGCAGCCGCGGUAAUACGUAGGGUGCAAGCGUUGUCCGGAAUUAUUGGGCGUAAAGAGCUCGUAGGCGGUUUGUCGCGUCUGCUGUGAAAACCCGAGGCUCAACCUCGGGCCUGCAGUGGGUACGGGCAGACUAGAGUGCGGUAGGGGAGAUUGGAAUUCCUGGUGUAGCGGUGGAAUGCGCAGAUAUCAGGAGGAACACCAAUGGCGAAGGCAGAUCUCUGGGCCGUAACUGACGCUGAGGAGCGAAAGCAUGGGGAGCGAACAGGAUUAGAUACCCUGGUAGUCCAUGCCGUAAACGUUGGGAACUAGAUGUGGGGACCAUUCCACGGUCUCCGUGUCGCAGCUAACGCAUUAAGUUCCCCGCCUGGGGAGUACGGCCGCAAGGCUAAAACUCAAAGGAAUUGACGGGGGCCCGCACAAGCGGCGGAGCAUGCGGAUUAAUUCGAUGCAACGCGAAGAACCUUACCAAGGCUUGACAUAUACCGGAAACGGCUGGAAACAGUCGCCCCGCAAGGUCGGUAUACAGGUGGUGCAUGGUUGUCGUCAGCUCGUGUCGUGAGAUGUUGGGUUAAGUCCCGCAACGAGCGCAACCCUCGUCCUAUGUUGCCAGCACGUAAUGGUGGGAACUCAUGGGAUACUGCCGGGGUCAACUCGGAGGAAGGUGGGGAUGACGUCAAAUCAUCAUGCCCCUUAUGUCUUGGGCUUCACGCAUGCUACAAUGGCCGGUACAAAGGGCUGCGAUACCGCAAGGUGGAGCGAAUCCCAAAAAGCCGGUCUCAGUUCGGAUUGAGGUCUGCAACUCGACCUCAUGAAGUCGGAGUCGCUAGUAAUCGCAGAUCAGCAACGCUGCGGUGAAUACGUUCCCGGGCCUUGUACACACCGC